UCAAAAUCGUUCCUUCUAUUUAUUGAACGAAAUAAUACAAGAAUUAAUCAUAAGAAGUCUUUUACGUUCGACAUAAAUCAAUCCUCGCACCUUUCGCUGGCUACCUGCACGUACGUAUAGCGGGCACGUUAACCGAUAUUACCAGUGAUGGUAAGCUCGCGUGCAGAUAAGACCGCGACAAUUAGCAUACGUGAGGUCAGUCGAUGGUUUCAAUGAGAAAGAGGAGCGAUAGAACACCUGCAGUUGCAGUAUCUUCUAUUCGUUCUUAUAACCUGCAACGAACGUUAGGACGUGCCCAAAUACUAAAAUUGCGAAUACUCUUACACAAUAUUUCUUUAUCUCGACGACUAACAAUUAAACGGGAUAUUUUGAGAAAAGAAAUCUCGAGCUGUUGAAGAUUAAUGAACUCGUGUUUUUAAAGGAGGGCUUUGUCAAGGACGACACGAAAGUGCAUACGCGGGCUCUAAAUCGAGAACCAAAAGAGAUUAGGGUGUGUCUUAAGGCGAGGCGACUGGUUUUCAUUACGUUUAAGAUUUCUGUGUUUGACGCACGACAGCUACGAAUUCGGAUUCAAUUUAUCGAAAUCUAAUUAAAAUGAGCAACCAGCGAUCCAGUUGAUUCGAACUAGCUUCGGUUCAUCGACAUCGAGGAACAGUUAGAUUUCAGUGAAAGAAAAAACAAGACUCGAGGGGGAAGAUAAUUGCCAGUAAUAACCCUAUGCACGAGCUAUGAGAACGAUUGUGAACGGGUUAAACGUGUAACGCGAAGAAAUGUGUACAUUCUUAUCUCGUGGAUACUUGUAUCUGCUACUGCAGAAAAACAAUGAGACGAUGAAGCAGUUGACAGUAGCGAACCGCGAAAGGAUGGCUAAUGACGAUGAUGAUCCUGUUAUAUUAUUUCUAAGAACGUAUUAACGUGCUCUCCCCACGUACUCUUGUCUUGUCUUGCGUGUACUCCGUGAAAUGACAGACGUGCAUUUUAUGAGUUCACUCGAACUUCUAAGGGCUUUUAAUUUCCCUGUCUAACAACAUUAUAAACAUUGUUUGAAAUUGUAAAAUAAUAUUAUAACAGCCUAAUUUGGUAUAAAGUGGUAAAUAUAAUUAUUGUAAAUUAAACGUAUAGACACAUAAAAUUAAACUGACGAAUAAAAUUGUAUUGUUCCUUUUAUAGCGAACCACUCAAGUUUAAUUAACAUAACGCGGCAAGUUAAUCUCGUUAAAGAAGCUGAUAUAUGAACACGAAUUAAAUCAUUCUCGAGUAGAGAAUCAGCGGAGGCGUGCGCCAGCGUUGCGUUUAGAAAUGCAAAUUGACCGUUCGAUCAAUUUGUAACAUUAAACGAUUCAUCCUGUGCGAUUGCUUUUUAUAUCCCAUUGUGAUCAAGUGCGAAAGCAUUCUCUCGUUAAAUUGCAUCAUUCAUGAAAAUGUUAUACCGUAAUUCAAUUGAUCAUUCAAUAAUGAACAAAUAAUUUAUAAUAUCACAAAUCUGCAGAUGAACUCGUAAGAUGCAUGUAACGGAAAUUCACUUUUUAACCUCAUUAUAAAUAAACUUAAAAGGACAGUCAAUUUCCGACGUUUAUUAAUGGUUUCUAAUGUAACGAUUGUCACCGUUACGGGUCGGAUGGCUUCUAUGGAAACCGUUAAAUCUACAUAUCGGUGCCACGUCCGAGCGAACGUUCAGCAAGAACGAUGAACGAAUAAGGGGUGUACGCUGCGACCUGUCAAUCUUAUUACAGUAACACUAUAUCCGACGGUCGCAUGCAAAUCGGGAACGGACACCUUUUAAUUUGAAUACGGUUUAUUAUCCGGAAGGUCAUUAGCUUCUACAAAUAUUAAAUAAGA